rnacentral:rRNA from 1 species
UAGGGAAUCUUCGGCAAUGGACGAAAGUCUGACCGAGCAACGCCGCGUGAGUGAAGAAGGUUUUCGGAUCGUAAAACUCUGUUGGUAGAGAAGAAUGACAUUGAGGGUAACUGUUCAAUGUGUGACGGUAUCUUACCAGAAAGGAACGGCUAAAUACGUGUCAG